GGGCUCCUGUGUUUCCACCUAAGCCCGGCUCACCCAUGAGCCAGGCAUCUGCUGGCAGAUGAGAACAAGACGUGGUCUCAGGAAGUCUGCAGGCAGACCAGGAGCCCAGGCCUUCAAGGAUGAGACCUGAGGCCAUGCCGCAUUCCUGGCCUGGCCAUGUCUGUUCAUAGAAUUGCCUCCACGUUAGCCAGCCCCAUGCCUCCAGACUCUAUGUCUACACAGCUCACCUUGGCCAUCUCGGGGCCAGAGGGCAGAAGCAGCUUAUGUUGGGAAGGGGCAUCUGAGAAGAAGAUGGGGGCUCGCUGUGUCGCACACGCUGGAGUGCAGUCGUGCAAUCAUGGCUUACUACAGCCUCAAACUCCUGGGCUCAAGCGACGCUCACACCUCAGCCUCCUAAGUAGCUGGGAUUACAGGAGCAGGUCUGCUUGUCAAGAGUCCAAGCACGCCUGUGUUCUGUGGCCACAGGAGAGGAGGGGCCGCUUUUAAAUACAAGCCUACUCCUGUCGUUGGACCAGAACAAAGACCUACUGGCCAGAAGCACAUGAGAGACUAGAGCGCAAUGGUACGAUCUUGGCUCACUGCAACUUCCACCUCCCGAGUUCAAGCAAUUCUCCUGACAGAAGUCCACUCAAGCCAGCCAUUGUAGCUAGCAUCGGGGCUCCAGCC
rnacentral:lncRNA from 1 species